rnacentral:rRNA from 1 species
GUUGUAAACUUAAGCUAAGUUUAGCUAGAGCGUAAAGAUCAUGUGCAUGCUGUAUCUCUGGAGUCGGAUAGCUCGCAAAGGCUCCCACGCCUUGGACAUUGGCGAUCGUGACUGACUGUAGUACGUUCAGAAGUGCAGUAUGAGUUCUAGAUGGGAGAGUCGCAAGCUCUCACCACGUGAACAUGCGAAAGUAGAAUUAGAGGAGGAAGCGAUGCAACGCCGAUGGCGAAUGGCAUGCCCCCCUCCGAUGACACUGACGCAUCGAAACACGAGAAGAGCGGGACAGCGAAACAGAUAUUAGAUAUAGUUGCAUAGUCCUACACCGAUAAGAAAUGUGAUGUUGGGCUCUGGAAGGAGGUCCGUAUCUAAGGAAACUAACUAAGUUAAGUUGCCCGCGGAGGGGAGUUCGCUCGCAAGAAAAUCAAAACAAAGGAAUGGGGGGGGGCCCACACAAGCGAGUGAUGAUUUUAAUUUGAUUCAACGCAGCAGAACAAACCUUACCUUCACCAUGCACGCCAGAAAUCUUAGAUAGAGGAGGGAGUUCGGCAAGGAAUACACACACAGGGCAUGCAUGUCGUUAGUUAGUUUGUUUAGAGAGAUGGUGGAGUAAGUCACGCAGCGCGACCCACCCCCUUCGUUAGUUGCUACUAAUAGUGGGGCCUUUUAGUGGGCCGCCCGGGGCCAACCCGGGGGAGGGGGGGGGGGAGGUAAGUUAUUCUUGGCCCUUAUGCCUGGGGUUCCCCCCUUCUUCAAAUGUUGGGACAGAAGGGUGCAAGCCCCCGGGGGGGGGGCAAUUCUCAAAAACCCAUUUCUAUUCGGGAUGGCGUUUUCAAAUUGGAUCCCGGGAAUUGGGAUUGGUUGUUAUUGCAGAUUAACCAUGUCGCGGUGAAUACGUUCCCGGGUCUUGUACACACCGCCCGUCACACCAUGGGAGUUUGUUGCACCAGAAGCAGGUAGCUUAACCUUCGGGGGGGCGCUUGCCACGGUGUGGCCGAUGACUGGGGUGAAGUGUAACAAGGUAACC